rnacentral:lncRNA from 1 species
GCCUCGUUUCUGCUUGUAGAGCAAUUCACCUGUGCUACUGUCUUGGUUAAGAAAGCUCUCCUGGAGAAGAGUGCAGACCGAGAGUGUAGCCUGUCCAGUCCAGCUUCCUGGAUCUCACAUGGCGUCACGUCCAAGUUGCAUGAUGUCCCAAGGGCACUGCCAUCUGCCACACAUCAGUCAUUACAGGCCAACAUUACCAACCCAGUCUCCACAGACAGUAUUAAAAAGGUUGGAAAGGAGGCCUCUGGUGUUGCAGCCAGUGGUGUAAGCCCUCUCCUGGGCUGGAUGCACUCAGAUCCUAGCAUGAGGUGUGGUGGGAGCAGCAGCCUGGCCAGGUCUUGCCAUUCUGUGGACUACAGCAAGAAACAGAUACGGAAAAGAAAUCAUCACUUUAAGCAACUAGCACAAGCAAUUACCUUGCAAGGUGUUCCCACUUUGUGCAAGUCUGGUCCUGCUGCAGCUCCACACAGCUCUGCAGGCCUCCUCCCACAGGCUGGAAGAUUUAAAAAGUGACAGCUCUGAAGGACAACUUCAGCCUUGACUCAGGGCCAUGCUGUCUCUGGAGGAAGGCUGCAGAAGGAUC